UGUUCAGUGGCUCAACACUGUGGACAGUCGUCACUGACAAAGAUGAAGGUAAUCCAGAUAAAUUCGCUUGUGGAACAGUGAACACUGAACCGGCCAUCAGGUAGAACAAGAAACAUAAACAGCAGCGAAGGCAGACAGUGUUGCAUGCUGGGAAGGGAACGUCUUCCUGUUGGACAGAAGAAAGAGCAGAAAACUUUUAUAACUUUAAUCUUUCUGGCACAGCAACCGUAAAAGGGCGUGAACAGGAAGUGGCAGUUAACUCACCUGGCGGCCAUGAUGGCGUGCUGGUCGUGUCCUGAGCAGAUGUCUUUAGUGAUGUAAGUGUUCCUGUCGCAGGAAACACCUGCAAGAGUGUAGUUGGGUUUACAGACGGUGAGGAAGAACGGGGCGUGGUAACCCGUCGACAGCUGGAUGAUGUCAGUCACCAGAGCCGUUGCACAGAGACCAAACACGUGCACACCUGGAGACAGACAGACAGGUACUGAACACCUGGAGACAGACAGACAGUGUUGUAGCUGUGUGUAUCAUUGACAGUAUAUAUAAUAUACUCAAACUUAGCAACCUUGGCAUCAACACCUCCCUCUGCAACUGGAUACUGGAGUUUCGAACCAACAGACCCCAAUCUGUACGGUAAGACAACCACACCUCCUCAACCCUAACCCUGAACACUGGCGUCCCACAGGGCUGAGUGCUGAGCCCCCUCCUAUACUCCCUCUUCACCCACGACUGCACACCUGUACAUGGUUCCAACACCAUCAUCAAGUUUGCGGAUGUUAGUUAGUUAUUGUUGUUUAGUAUUGUUUUCGUCUGUGGUGUGCUUUGUAUUUUGUCCCUGUUUUUCUACAGGAGUGUGCCGCCUGUCUUGCUGGAGAUCUCUGACGGCAACCCGUAGAUCUCCCCACUGACUGGCUAAUGAAGUGGGCUCGGCUCUCGACUGCUGGUUGGUUCUCCCUGUGACAUCCGCCGUGUAUAAAACGUCUGGCCUCACAGCAGUCGUAGACAGAACAACCUAGCAUCGUUCUGUCCUCGGGCCGUAAAGAGAGAGUGUUAUUGUGUGAGCGUUAUGAUUGGCGAGUUUGUGAAUAUUAUUAUUAUAUUUUUCUUUCUUAUGGUUGUAUACAGGGGGUGUUGGUGUUCACAACAUUGGCCUCAUCACUGACAACGAUGAGUCCCCCCCCCCCAUACGUAUCAACUGAAUCGAGGUUCACCCAGAAACUUCAAGUUUCCGGAUCUCCGAGGACAUCUCUUGGACCCUGAACACCUCAACCCUGGUCAAGAAGGCUCAUCUGUCUCCUCAAAAAUUCUGGUGAACUUCUACCGCUGGACCAUCGAGAGCAUCCUUACCAACUGCAUCACAGACUGUAUGGAAACUGCUCUGCCUCGGACCGGAAAACAGAGGGUGGCGAAAACUGCCCAGCUUAUCACCGGUUCACCUUUCCCCACCAUUGAGGCUGUCCAGAGCAAGCUAUGUCUGCAGAAGGCACGCUGCAUUGCUAGAGCCGGAGGAUCUGUCCUAGGUUUCUGCCUUUUAACAGGCAGUGUUUCCUUGCCCUUGUCUCCAAGGUCUUGCUCAUGGUGGUACUGUUGGGUCUCUGUAAAUAAUGUUAUAAAGAGUUCGGUCUAGACCUGCUCUAUUUGAAAAGUGUCCUGAGAUAACUUCUGUUAUGAAUUGGCGCUAUACAAAUAAAAUUGAAUUGAAUUGAAUUGAAUUGAAU